AUCCUCAUCAAAACUACUGGGAAGGUGCAAGGAAGAGCUUUGCAACCUCUGUUUUAUAAGCCUAUAAGACAAAAUAUUCUAGUUUUGCAUUCAGCAACCUUCAACUCCCUGUUUUUUCCCCCUACAACCUCUCACAAACACCAGCCAAAAUAAAUUAAAUGCCACACAGACUGAAACAGAAUUAAAAUAUAAUGCUGGUAAUUUUGGAGUUUAGGGCUUGGAUCUUUCCACCAUUUUUACAUGCUUUCUAUGCUAAUGCAGCAUAGAAAGGAAAAGCAGCUUGUUAGCUUUUACUCUCUCUCCCAGCUCAAUUGCCAAGGCUACCCAACACACUUGUACUCUUAUUUGCUCUCCUUUCUCCCAUAUCUCAAGCUGUGAAAUUAAUAUGCACAGAGGACAUAAACCUCUAGCUCAGGAAUAAAAAGUGACCUUAAUAUGCUCCUGCUUAAUCCUUCUCAGGCUCAGCGUAACCAUCGCUCUGGGAAGACAACCCAGCAUGAAACCAAGGUACAAGAAAAUACCACACGGAGCCCUAAAAUGUGCACAGUCAGAUGAUGCCAUGGGUGGCAGCAAGGCUCCCUGCUCUACGAGAACAACUCAAACAACAGCAUUUCCUGCACCCCAGUCUGGAGAGAAGCACAAACUUUUCUCUAAAGGCACAAACAAGUACUCCCUCCUCAGAAACAGCACCAAAUUUUGAUAACAAAUCACCACCACCACCUCUCUCUGGAGGUUAAAGCCUACAGACAUUGAACCAGUUACACAAUUCUGAUGGAUUUUCAGGAAAAGGAGAAUUAAUAUUCAAACACACGGAGUGGCAACAGAGAGACAAAAAGCCUUGCCCAUGCGAGAACCCAUGCCAGAGGAACAAGUGCUUUCACUAACUGCAAAGUGAUGACUGUAUUUCUACGGAUUCCUCAGCUGCUGCUUUGAACUCUUUUAUUGAAGUGUUUUGACAGCACACCAGAUAAAAAAGGAAAAAAAAAAAAGAGUAAUCUGAAGCACAUGUGAAAAUGCACACAUGAAGAUAUACAAAUCAAACUAUUUUCUACUGCCACUGUUAAAGCAUUAAAUGUCAUCAAAACAGUAAACUCCAGAGCAACUCAUUUUUGUGCAUGUUAGCAGUUCUUAAAUUUAAUACGUGCAUGGGUGUAACACACACAUUCCCCUCACAAUCUUUUCAACAGUUGUCACAGCCCUGGAGCAAAUCAAAAGCAGAGCCCAAAGGCACUGCACUUAUUCAGGAGCUUGUUUCUAACACUGAGGUGAAGACUAAACCACACCAGUCUCAUAAAAGGAAG
rnacentral:lncRNA from 1 species